UUUCGCAAUGCCCGAAAGGGUGACGAAGCGACGCCGCGUGUGGGAAGAAGGCCUUCGGGUUGUAAACCACUGUCGGGAGCUAGGAAAUGUAAGGGUGCUAAUAGUAUCCUUGCUUGACUAAGGCUCCGGAGGAAGCCACGGCUAACUCUGUGCCAGCAGCCGCGGUAAUACAGAGGCGGCAAGCGUUGUUCGGAAUUAUUGGGCGUAAAGAGCGCGUAGGCGGCCUUGUAAGUCAGUUGUGAAAGCCUUCUGCUUAACGGAAGAACAGCAGCUGAUACUGCAAGGCUAGAGUGCGGAAGGGGAGAGUGGAACUUCUGGUGGAGCGGUGAAAUGCGUAGAUAUCAGAAGGAACACCGGCGGCGAAGGCGACUCUCUGGUCCGUAACUGACGCUGAGUGUGCGAAAGCUAGGGGAGCAAACGGGAUUAGAUACCCCGGUAGUCCUAGCCGUAAACGAUGGGCACUAAGUAGAGGGGUUUUA
rnacentral:rRNA from 1 species